rnacentral:rRNA from 1 species
CAAAAGCUUGGUCCUGACUUUAUUAUCAACUACAACUAAACUU